AUGGCAUCCCGUUUUACUCUACUGGCGUGCAUCGGCGCGCUGUUUGCCGGCACCGCUGCUGUUCCGCCGGCAACAUUCGUCUUCGGCGACUCGCUCGUCGACGCCGGCAACAAUAACUACAUCGCCACGCUGUCCCGGGCGAAUUAUGCCCCCAACGGCAUCGAUUUCGACGGCCACCAGCCCACCGGCCGGUACACCAACGGCCGGACCAUCGUCGACAUACUAGGGCAAGAGAUGGGGCUGGGAGGGUUUGUGCCGCCCUACAUGGACCCAAACACCACCGGCGACGUCCUGUUCAGAGGCGUCAACUACGCGUCCGGCGGCGGCGGCAUACUCAACCAGACCGGGAGCAUCUUCGGUGGGCGUAUAAACCUGGAUGCGCAGAUUGACAACUACGCCAAGAACCGGCGCGACUUGAUGACACAGCGCGGGGAGGUGGCAGCGGUGAGCCGGCUGAGGGGCGCGCUCUUCUCGGUGACCAUGGGCUCCAACGACUUCAUCAACAACUACCUCGUCCCCGUCCUGUCCGUGCCGGAGCGCGCCGUGACGCCGCCGGAGGCCUUCAUCAACGGCAUGAUCGCCAAGUACCGGCAGCAGCUCAUCAGGCUGUACCUUCUGGACGCCCGGAAGAUCGUGGUGGUGAACGUGGGGCCGAUCGGCUGCAUCCCGUACCUGAGGGACAUCAUGGCGACCGGGGCCGGGGCCGGGGCCGGGGCGUGCGCCGAGUUCCCGAACCAGCUGGCCCAGUCCUUCAACCGCAAGCUGCGCGCCGUGGUGACCGAGCUGGGCGCCGGCCUCGGCGGCUCGCGCUUCGUCUACGCCGACGUCUACCGCAUCGUCUCCGACAUCAUCGCCAACUAUAAGUCGCACGGGUUCGAGGUGGCGGACUCGGCGUGCUGCUACGUGGGCGGGCGGUUCGGCGGGCUGGCGCCCUGCGGACCCACGUCGAGCUACUGCGCGGACAGGUCCAAGUACGUGUUCUGGGACGCGUACCACCCCAGCGACGCCGCCAACGUGCUCAUAGCCAGCCGCAUCCUCGACGGCGACCCGGCGGACAUCUCACCUGUCAACGUGCGCCAGCUGCUCUUCGACGAUGCUUAG
rnacentral:rRNA from 1 species